UUAACUUUAUUUAUAUAUUACUCGGACAACACAAAAAUCAAGAGUUUGGGGUUCUCUGGCAGGCACAGACCAGCCUAAGCCGGUGGUCAAAAGACGGGCCUGCCAAAGCAACAUAGGUAAUGUAAACAAAGGGUGGGAGAUCUACCCCAAAGGGCAAUUUCUCUGUAAUGAUCCUUCCGCAGGUUCACCUACGGAAA
rnacentral:misc_RNA from 1 species